UGCAAGCAUUCCACAUGGAGCUGCUGCAGGAGGGAGAAGGCAAAGUGGUGUGUGGAACUGGGAGGAAGGAGCCAGCAAGAAGAGGGGCUGUGAAUUGGCUUUUUUGUUGGCUUACUUGCCCAUUACACAAACUAGGACGACAAGAAAAACAAAGCCUUGACUUCUGAAGCUCUGUAAUAUGGACAAAGAUUUCAAAUAAAAUUCAGCAACAGGACAGACACUGUUAUGGCAGAGUAACACAGCUACCAGGGGACUCUGGACAUGUCAGACCUGUGAACAAGGAGCCUGCAGAAAAUCUUGCCCUGGGUUUCAGCUGAUGUUACUGCGUCAGCCUGAAUCACUGCAGGAAGGACAGAGCAGCGAUGCUUUUCUGUUUCUCAGCACCGUCUCUUAGAUUAGUCUGGUUUAUGUAACAUGCUACGUUGCAUAGUUUCAUUUCAAUCUCUGCAGUGUUAUACUGUUGGCAUGUUACUAUUGCUAUUCGCUUAAAAAUAGAGAAGGUAUAACAGGGAAUGUAUGCUACAGCGAGGGUGACAGAUGGAAUUCUUCCACUUAUAUAAAAAAUGCAAUGUAAUGAAUAUUUAUGCAAUUGCUUUUUUACUGUGUAGCAAUACAAUGUAUGGGUCUUUUUCCUUGAUCGUAGUCCUUGCAAUGCUACAGCCUUCUGGAGAUUCUCAUAUAAAUCAGAUGCUGAGGAAGAAUCUGCUUUCUUCUCAUUAGGAAGCAGGAAAAAAAAGAUGCACCUUCUUUCAGAAAGUAGAAAAAAAAAAUCCCAUGGAUAUUUAAUUAUAAAAAACUUUUUUUAUCACAAAAAAGUGAUGUCAUAAAAUCAAAUAUUCUAGCAAGGAAAUAUAGCAUGCUUUGCAUGUUCAUAUUGUUCUACCCUGAAUCAGUUCUUUUUCGGGAGAGACCUUCCAGAUAGUUGAAAGUUUUAUGUUUAGCCUUUCUGCAUGUCUUUGUAGCUAUUUUCCGUACUA